UGGGGAAUCUUGCGCAAUGGGCGAAAGCCUGACGCAGCCAUGCCGCGUGAGUGAUGAAGGCCUUAGGGUUGUAAAACUCUUUCACCGGGGACGAUAAUGACGGUACCCGGAGAAGAAGCCCCGGCUAACUUCGUGCCAGCAGCCGCGGUAAUACGAAGGGGGCUAGCGUUGCUCGGAAUUACUGGGCGUAAAGGGCGCGUAGGCGGAUCAGCAAGUUGGGGGUGAAAGCCCGGGGCUCAACCUCGGAAUUGCCUUCAAAACUGCUGAUCUAGAGUACGGGAGAGGUGUGUGGAACUCCGAGUGUAGAGGUGAAAUUCGUAGAUAUUCGGAAGAACACCAGUGGCGAAGGCGACACACUGGCCCGUUACUGACGCUGAGGCGCGAAAGCGUGGGGAGCAAACAGGAUUAGAUACCCUGGUAGUCCACGCUGUAAACGAUGAUUGCUAGUUGUCGGCAGGCAUGCCUGUCGGUGACGCAGCUAACGCAUUAAGCAAUCCGCCUGGGGAGUACGGUCGCAAGAUUAAAACUCAAUGAAUUGCGGGGUCAUAGCUG
rnacentral:rRNA from 1 species